rnacentral:lncRNA from 1 species
AGGAGCUGGACCUGGCCCUCCCACCCUCGCUGCCAUGGUGGACGCGGCUCAAGAUGGGGCGCCUCGCCUACUGGCGCAACUCGCUGGUGGUGCGCGUGCUCACCCUGCUCCGGAUCGCGCCCAAGGGCGUGGUGGAGGUGCACGAGAUGCUGUACGAGACCGCGCAGCACCUCACCCUCGGCGGCGAGACCGGCAUCUUCUCGCCGAUGCACAUGGUGGUCCUCCGCAAGCCCGUCGCCGACGCCGCCGAAUAGAGCGAGCGAUCAAACAAGAAGUAAUUUCAAUCAAUUUCUCAUCAGAGGUAAGAAAAACCGGGAGGGAGGACAGGCUUAUUAUUAGCUAAUGGAGCACUACUAGUACAAUUGAUUUGGUGUUGUAGCCGAGAGAGGAGAGAAUAGGAGCGGCCGAUGAUGCUUACUGUUUGUUGGUGGAGUUGGGCUUUCGGUUUUCGUUUUCGUUUGUUGGAGGAGAGAAUAGGAGCGGCCGAGGGAGGACAGGCUUUCGUUUUCGUUUCGAUUUUUGGGUGGAGUUGGGCUGCAUGCAGGCUGGAUUCAGAUUUGUUUCUGCUUUGAUCCGUGGAUUGGAUAGAUCUUCCUUUUCUUCUAUGUAUCG